GGCUCUAGAAGGAAGGAUGUGGGUCUCUAGCUGUAAUGCUGGCUGACCCUGGGCAGAUCGCUUCCCUUCUCUGGUCAUCCAGGUCCUCGUCAGCUAAAAGAAGCAAUGGUGGCCAUUGUUCUUCAUGAUGUCCUGAGUGUGGCCUUUGACUCCAGUGCAGAGCUGCUGGAGAGAAAUGCACCAAGGAACUUCUGGAGGUCCUCCAGCUGCUUCUUGCCACUUCUACUGAUGCAUGCUGAUUUGGUGGAGCCUUGUGGUUUCUUCUGGAUCAAGCUGCUGCUGCUGCUUUGUGUUUGGUGACACUGUUGAACUGGAUUGCUGAUAUCCUGACAGUGAAGAUUGGAGUUGCCCCAAAGAACUACUUCUAAACAAGUCCACAACCUCUAUUUCCUAUUAACCUUUUCUUUCUGGUGCAUGGAUUAGAAAAGAGGCUGAAGCAUUUAAAGAACCUUUAUUAAAGUAGGUUUGAAAAACCUAA